ACGGUCCAGACUCCUACGGGAGGCAGCAGUGGGGAAUAUUGCACAAUGGGCGCAAGCCUGAUGCAGCCAUGCCGCGUGUGUGAAGAAGGCCUUCGGGUUGUAAAGCACUUUCAGUCGUGAGGAAGGUAGUGUAGUUAAUAGCUGCAUUAUUUGACGUUAGCGACAGAAGAAGCACCGGCUAACUCCGUGCCAGCAGCCGCGGUAAUACGGAGGGUGCGAGCGUUAAUCGGAAU
rnacentral:rRNA from 1 species